AAGAUGCAAGAAAAGAUGAUCUGCUGCUGGUACCAGAGGUGAGGUUUACUUUGUUACAAAAGAAUGAAAGAUCAUUGACACCCAACAGCAGAAACUGCAUGGUCUAUACCCUUACCAUCAUACUACCACAAGUAGAACCAGAAAAAAAUUGGCAUAACCUAAAGUGAGAAACCAACAAAAGUGAGAAUUUACAGCAAAGUCAAACUUCAAAAUAAAUCUGCAAACCCAGGGACUUCCAAGCACAUGAGGCCAAGUAUUCUGCUAGACGUUCUUUUCUGCAACCGACAGAUCUUCUCAUUUUCCAUACCAUUAUAGAGCAAAAUCAGAAAACUUACGAAUACAACUGCACCAACAAAUACAGACCUUAUCCAAUUCUGUAAAUACCCAAAAAAUCAUCAACCAUCUCUGGUCAUCAGGAAAAUGAACAGAUAAUAAUGGCAAGAAACCUCAAAAAAAUCAUCCUAGACUCCUCCCAACCACCAAGCUUCCAACAGCUACAAACCAUGGAGAAGAAACCUGCACCUGGGAGAAAAUUGAAACCCACCAGAUCAGAUAAGACAACUGGCAGAAGAAAAGAACUCGAGUUGCCUGCCCUCCCCAUUAUGACCAAGCAGGGAUGUUUAUAGAGUAACACGAUGAAACAAAUGAGUACAAGAUUAAGUAGAGAGAUAUCAACACCAAACCAUCAAAGACAAACAUAUAAAGAUCAUGUAAUCAAAACCACCAGACAUUCUCAUUAUCACAUUAUGCAAGAC
rnacentral:lncRNA from 1 species